UAUAUCCGAGUAUUGAUACAGUGCUCCAGCCUACAGCAGCUGCGUACGAGACUUCACAGACAAUGGCAGCCCUUAAGUAAGCCGCUAAAGGUGUUGAGGAGGGAAAAAGGUGUUUGUUUACCUCUCGGCCGCCGCGCCAGGGCGGCCAGCCACCGGGGCGGUGUCGCGUUCCGCCGCAUCCUCCUAUUAUUACUGGUGACAGGUGUGCAGUGUAGGGGAGCGUGAGCACCUGCCAGGCCGCUCACAGUGAUAGAGCCCUCAAGAAGACUAAGAAGCUGUGUUGCCGAGGACCACGUCUGGCUCCAGCAGCUCAGAUGAGGAGGCGUCACGGUUCAGGGAGGCGUGUGACCCCACCCUGUGGAGAACGGCCGCGCAGGGAGCCGCCAAGAAUGAAAUCUGCAGAGCGGAGGCAUCUGAUGAGAAGCCCCAGCCAAGGCGACCAGAGGCAGGCCUUCAUGCUGCUGGAGAAGAUGCGCACAACCCUUGCCGGGGCGCAGGGCAAGGCAGGGUGUGUGGGGCUGAGGCACAAGGAUGGCCAUGGCCCCAGCAUACAGGGCAGGCCAUCGUCAGGCAGGGCAGAGGCCAGCACAGCGAGGGUGGCCACGGCUGCCCCAUCCACACUCUCCCUUCCUGGCCAAGCAGCUCACCUCAAGACUGGACGGGUAUUUGGAGGAGUACAAGUUGAAGGACCGGUGCGCCGACGGAACCAUUGUAGCCGUGCCGUGCUCCCUGCCAGACAACACCAACACCAACACCACUGCAGGGAAAAAGAAGAAAAAGAAAUGUGUGGUGUGUGUGUCUCAGGCUGGGAAGGAAGACGCCACAUUAUCACACCAGGAGGAAUCACUCAGUAGCCUUCAGAACGGUGGUGUCAGUGAGGGCUCAAGGACAAAGAGAAGGAGAGGUGUGGUGUGUGUGUGUGUCUCAGGCUGGGAAGGAAGACGCCACAUUAUCACACCAGGAGGAGUCACUCAGUAGCCUUCAGAACGGUGGUGUCGGUGAAGGUUUAAGUACAAAGAGAAGGAGAGGUGAGGUGUGUGUGUCUCAGGCUGGGGAGGAAGAGGAAGGAACUGUACAGGAGAAGCAGGAGGAAGCAUUUAAUGGCCUCACGAAUGGUGGUUCUGGCUCAAGUACCGACGUGAGGAAGCAGAGGAAGCAAACUCGAAGGAGAGGGAAGAAGAAGAAGUUGAAGGGAGGCGAUGAAGUGGCUGUACCUAAGAGGAAGAACAGGGAUGAAUAGAACAUGAAAAAAACACCAGUUACCCCUCACAAUGGCAGCGUUGGCUCAAGUACUGAUGUGAUUAAACAUAGGAAGCAAACACGUAGGAGAGGGAAAAAGAAGAAGUUGCAGGGAGGUUAUUAAGUUGCCGUGCCUUAGAGGAGGAACAGGGAUGGAUAGAAUAUGAAAAAAACACUAGUUACCCCUCACAAUGGCAGUUUUGGCUCAAGUACUGAUGUGAUGAGGCACAGGAAGCAAACCCAAAAGAGAGGGAAGAAGAAGAAGUUGAAGGGAGGCGAUGAAGUGGCCGUACCUUAGAGGAAGAACAGCGACAGAUGGAACAUGAAGGAAGAAGAGAACACUAGUUACCCCUCACAGUGACAGCACUAGUGAAAGGAAGAGAAAGAAGGUGGAACAGAGGGAGUGUAGUGUGGCUUGUGUGUGUUGAACUUAAGAAGGGACACACUGCAGGGUUUGAACAAGAAGAAAUGCUUACCUCACAAUGACAGCACUAGUGAAAGGAAGAGAAAGAAGACAAAAUGGAGUUGUGUGGCUUGUGUGUGUUGAACUUAAGAAGGGAUACACUGCAGGGUUUGAACAGGAAGAAAUGCUUACCUCACAAUGACAGCACUAGUGAAAGGAAGAGAAAGAAGACAAAACAGAGGGAGUGUAGUGUGGCUUGUGUGUGUUGAACUUAGAAGGAAGACACUGCAGGUUUGAGCAAAGAAAAACACUUACUGACGAUGGCUGAGUGGUCGGUGCCUGGAUGCCAUGACCCCAAGGACCCAGGCUCAAGUCCCUCUGCAAGACACUGACAAUUCUUAACCAUCGGCCAGUGGUGGAACAUUACCCACAUGCUGCCCAGGUCUUCAAUCAACCUUGACUUCAGCGACUUCGGUCAAGAGGAGCACCGGGGGGCAGCAUGGGCCAAGCAGAGUCAUACAUCACAGCAGCCACUAUAAAUUAAAUUCGCCUGUGCCACGAACGGACUGGGGUCUUCCAAGUGGUCCCUCGAGAGAGCCUACUGGUGCUAUAGGCAGAGGAGAAGGAGGAGGAAAAAUGAAAAGAGGAAGAAUUCUGUGGCACUGGUGAAGGAGUAGAAGGAGGAAGAGGAUAAAAAGGAAAGAGAAAGAAAUCUGCAGCUACAAUGGAAGAUAGGAAACACAGCAAAAGAGACACAUGAAGAGAUUGAAGGAAAGGGAAUGGACAGUUACGACAAGAAGAAGCAUUUAAUAGUCCUUAUAAUGGUGGCACUGCUGAAGAAUAAGAAGGAAGAGGAAGAAAGGAAAAAUAUGUACCUAGUGAUUUUGGGCUGUGAAGAAGCUGAAGGAAGGCAAAGUAAUGGAGGGAAGAGAACAGUCAGUCAAUUACAACAAGAAGAAGCACUUACUAAUCUACAGAAUGGUGGCACUGCUGAAGAAUAAGAAGGAAGAGGAAAAAUAAAAGAGAAAGAAAUCUGUGCCUUGUGAUUUUGGGCUGUGAAGAGGCUGAAGGAAGGCAAAGUAAUGGCAGGACCUUGAGGGAAGAGAACAAACAGUCAAUUACAACAAGAAGAAGCACUUACUAAUCUACAGAAUGGUGGCACUGCUGAAGGAGAACACAAAGGAAGAACAAACAACACCUGACCUGCUGGUCCUUAUGAGGCUGUUUGUGACAAGCUACACUAACUAUCUAAUCAAAGGUGGAAGAUGAAGGACAGCAAAGGCGAAGGCUCCUUCCCACCCCCCAUCCCUCCAGCCAAAGCUGGCAAGAAAGGAAAAAGAACCAUGCAGCUUGGAAAAACUGCAUGGAAAUUUUAUAGGAAAGAGGAAAGAACUACCAUUACUGCUACCACUAACCGGGCGAUAAAAGCGGACAAGGACAAGAGGAAAGAAGGAAGAAGAGGAAAAAGGAAAGAGAAAGAAAUCUGUGCCUUGUGAAUUUUAUGCUGUGACAGUUACAAUAGGAAUUACACUUACUCUCCUUCACAGUGCUGGCAUGUGCUCAAAUUAUGACACACAAAGGAAACAGUCGCCUUCACCAUUACUCUUUCCUUCCUCUCCACUCUUACAAACACUUCUCCCUCCCUCUCCCUCCCUCUCAGCCAAACACUGUCAUGGAGCCAUCUGGUCCCAUAAAGCACUAGUGGAAACAAUCGCCUUCACCAUUACUUUUUCCUGUCUCUCCACUCUUACAAACACUUCUCCCUCCCUCUCCCUCCCUCCCAGCCAAACACUGUCAUGGAGCCAUCUGGUCCCAUAAAGCACUAGUAUUUUUAGAAUGGCAAAAACAUGUAUAAUGAGCUCACAGCGAAACAGUGCGCGCGACCUUUUGUAUACUCGGACUUUUGUCACGGCGGAAAACAUACAUGAUAUACAGACAAACAGACAACAUUGAGGGGAGGCGAUGAAAAGGCGGUCCCUUCAACUUGACGGGGGUGGAAGGAAGUGUGAGAGAUGAAGAAGGAAGGAGAAAAAGAACAUCCCAUCACAACACUGGUGCUAAGAAAAGACAAAGAAGAAAAGUAAAAUAAGAAAGAAAGGUGUAGCUUGUGGCUCUCAGGAAUGUUAGUUAGGCUGUGACACUUGCAAUAGAGAAAACACUUUAGUGGUGGCGUGGACUCAAGUUCUGACUCACACGAAGAACAGCUGAAACAAAUAUGAAAUAAAGUAUGUGUGUGUGUGUGUGUGUGUGUGUACCUAUUUGCAGUAUACAGGGCCUCAGCUCAAGCAUGGUCAGUCCUGUCUCCCAAUCUAUAUUUGUCUAGCUUUUUCUUCAUUUUCUGGUCACUGCCCGCCUCAACAAGGUCUUUGCUUAGUCCAUUCCAUGUAUCCACACUCCUCUAUGGAAAACUGCAUGUCUUUCAACAAGUCCCCUUUCUCAAUUUCUUACUGUGUCCUCUUAGUUGCCUCCUCCCUUCCAUCGCGAUUAAAUCAUUUCUAUCCAACACUUCCAUGCCACUCGUAUUCUCUCAUAAAAAUUACAUCUCAUCCCUUCUCCAUUUUCAUACAAGACUAACCAUCAUAUUCUUUUAACAUUUCGGCGCCCAAGCACACAGAUUCAACAAGGCUUUCGUAUGAGUUGUAGGAGGCAUUUCCAGGGGUAGUUUCAUGGCCCUGGUGGUAGUUUGACCCUUCUUCUGUAACAAGAACUUAAAAUACCACCCUUUAGAGCUCGACUGAUCUCCUUUUAUGCCUUUGGAAAUAGUUGAUGCGAGGUGUUUGAGAAUACCAACCUUAUUAGUAUCUCCAUCUCUCCAGUGCUUUCAUCUCCUUUAUGACAAUCUUCUCUCACUUAAAAACUAAUUCUCAUCCUUCUCCAUUUUCCUAUAAGACUUAAUGUAUCCAUCUCUUUGAUCUCAAUGUAAUGAACUCCAUCUCUUUGAUCCUUUCCUCUCUUCCUUCUCGUGUUCCUUCGGGUUGUCUUUAGAGGGAGAAUUAAAGGUUGGAAACUGGACUCUGAACUCAGACCCUCAGAGCUCAGCAUUCACCACUUCCAGCCAUUGUGUAAUAUAGUGAUAUCUGUAGAAGUAGUAGUAAUAGUAGUAUCAGGUCCUCUGCAUGCUUCUGAUAUAUUCCAAAUUUCUUCUUUUCUCUUAUUUUUACAUCAUAUUUCUCUCUCCUCUGUGCCGGCUCCAUUCAAACAAGACUUUCCGUAUCUCCAUAUUUAUUCAGUUAACUUACAUUGUGUUUACAUUAAUGCGAGAGAGAGAGAGAGAGAGAGAGAGAGAGAGAGAGAGAGAGAGAGAGAGAGAGAGAGAGAGAGAGAGAGAGAGAGAGAGAGAGAAUAUUUAUGUGUCCGGGGUUCAUGUGUCUGUGGGGUUUGUAAACAUACUGUGGGGUGACAUCCUGUGGGGCCUGUGGCUGAGAGAGAGAGAGAGAGAGAGAGAGAGAGAGAGAGAGAGAGAGAGAGAGAGAGAGAGAGAGAGAGAGAGAGAUUUAUGUCACUCAGCAUUGCACUGUCACUAUCAGGCUGCUCCUAACAUGUCAUUCACUGGAGGUCACUGAUCAGGUGUGUGCAGCCAGGCUUGGGCGCCAGAUUUGACCCAAUGUGGACAAAUUUCCCACGUCCACACAUGAGGUCAAUCUGCCGCCCAUGCCUGGCUGCAGACACCCACCCUAAUCAGUGCGCUGCUAACACGUCCGCUGCGAUUGGCACAGAUUUGACUUUCACUAGUAGCCUGAUAACAUAUACUCCCAGGUCUUUCUCUGCCUCUGUGGUGGAUAGUGGAGUGUUUCCCAUGUGGUAUUGGUGUGCUGGAUAUCCCUUCACUGGUAGCCUGGUAACAUAUACGCCCAGGUCUUUCUCUGCCUCUGUGGUGGAUAGUGGAGUGUUUCCCAUGUGGUAUUGGUGUGCUGGAUAUCCCUUCACUAGUAGCCUGAUAACAUAUACUCCCAGGUCUUUCUCUGCCUCUGUGGUGGAUAGUGGAGUGUUUCCCAUGUGGUAUUGGUGUGCUGGAUAUCCCUUCACUGGUAGCCUGAUAACAUACACUCCCAGGUCUUUCUCUGCCUCUGUGGUGGAUAGUGGAGUGUUUCCCAUGUGGUAUUGGUGUGCUGGAUAUCCCUUCACUGGUAGCCUGGUAACAUAUAC